rnacentral:misc_RNA from 1 species
ACUGAGUUUACCUUAAAAAAGCAUAAGUGGUAUUGAAGUUAUCUCCAUGACUGAGGUUUCAAGUUUGAAUCCAGUUGGAGAAAAAUGGAUUAAAAAAAGUGUAUCUGCGUUUCUCAUUAUGACAUUAUCCAAACACACUAGAUGAUUGCAAAAGUAGGGCUUCUCCAUGGUACUUUUAAAUUUUUCAGAGGGGUUGAGGUAGAUUUUUA